UUAAUGAGAGUUUGAUCCUGGCUCAGGACGAACGCUGGCGGCGUGCCUAAUACAUGCAAGUAGAACGCUGAGGUUUGGUGUUUACACUAGACUGAUGAGUUGCGAACGGGUGAGUAACGCGUAGGUAACCUGCCUCAUAGCGGGGGAUAACUAUUGGAAACGAUAGCUAAUACCGCAUAAGAGUAAUUAACACAUGUUAGUUAUUUAAAAGGAGCAAUUGCUUCACUGUGAGAUGGACCUGCGUUGUAUUAGCUAGUUGGUGAGGUAAAGGCUCACCAAGGCGACGAUACAUAGCCGACCUGAGAGGGUGAUCGGCCACACUGGGACUGAGACACGGCCCAGACUCCUACGGGAGGCAGCAGUAGGGAAUCUUCGGCAAUGGACGGAAGUCUGACCGAGCAACGCCGCGUGAGUGAAGAAGGUUUUCGGAUCGUAAAGCUCUGUUGUUAGAGAAGAACGUUGGUAGGAGUGGAAAAUCUACCAAGUGACGGUAACUAACCAGAAAGGGACGGCUAACUACGUGCCAGCAGCCGCGGUAAUACGUAGGUCCCGAGCGUUGUCCGGAUUUAUUGGGCGUAAAGCGAGCGCAGGCGGUUCUUUAAGUCUGAAGUUAAAGGCAGUGGCUUAACCAUUGUACGCUUUGGAAACUGGAGGACUUGAGUGCAGAAGGGGAGAGUGGAAUUCCAUGUGUAGCGGUGAAAUGCGUAGAUAUAUGGAGGAACACCGGUGGCGAAAGCGGCUCUCUGGUCUGUAACUGACGCUGAGGCUCGAAAGCGUGGGGAGCAAACAGGAUUAGAUACCCUGGUAGUCCACGCCGUAAACGAUGAGUGCUAGGUGUUAGGCCCUUUCCGGGGCUUAGUGCCGCAGCUAACGCAUUAAGCACUCCGCCUGGGGAGUACGACCGCAAGGUUGAAACUCAAAGGAAUUGACGGGGGCCCGCACAAGCGGUGGAGCAUGUGGUUUAAUUCGAAG
rnacentral:rRNA from 1 species